rnacentral:rRNA from 1 species
GAUAGUACCUUACUACUUGGAUAACCGUGGUAAUUCUAGAGCUAAUACAUGCUUAAAACCUCGACUUCGGAAGGGGUGUAUUUAUUAGAUAAAAAACCAACGCCCUUCGGGGCUUCUUGGUGAUUCAUGAUAACUUUACGGAUCGCAUGGCCUUGCGCCGGCGACGGUUCAUUCAAAUUUCUGCCCUAUCAACUUUCGAUGGUAAGGUAUUGGCUUACCAUGGUUUCAACGGGUAACGGGGAAUUAGGGUUCGAUUCCGGAGAGGGAGCCUGAGAAACGGCUACCACAUCCAAGGAAGGCAGCAGGCGCGCAAAUUACCCAAUCCCGACACGGGGAGGUAGUGACAAUAAAUACUGAUACAGGGCUCUUUUGGGUCUUGUAAUUGGAAUGAGUACAAUUUAAACCUCUUAACGAGGAACAAUUGGAGGGCAAGUCUGGUGCCAGCAGCCGCGGUAAUUCCAGCUCCAAUAGCGUAUAUUAAAGUUGUUGCAGUUAAAAAGCUCGUAGUUGAAACUUGGGUCUGGCUGGCAGGUCCGCCUCACCGCGUGUACUUGUCCGGCCGGGCCUUCCUUCUGGAGAACCUCAUGCCCUUCACUGGGCGUGUUGGGGACCAGGACUUUUACUUUGAAAAAAUUAGAGUGUUCAAAGCAGGCCUUUGCUCGAAUACGUUAGCAUGGAAUAAUAGAAUAGGACGUGCGGUCCUAUUUUGUUGGUUUCUAGGACCGCCGUAAUGAUUAAUAGGGACAGUCGGGGGCAUCAGUAUUCAAUUGUCAGAGGUGAAAUUCUUGGAUUUAUUGAAGACUAACUACUGCGAAAGCAUUUGCCAAGGAUGUUUUCAUUAAUCAGUGAACGAAAGUUAGGGGAUCGAAGACGAUCAGAUACCGUCGUAGUCUUAACCGUAAACUAUGCCGACUAGGGAUCGGGCGAUGUUCUUUUUCUGACUCGCUC